rnacentral:rRNA from 1 species
AUGCAUUGGUUUGCGUUGUGGAAAUUGUGUGUACCAAAGAAGAAAGGGAGAUUAGGAUUCAGAGACCUUCACAGUUUUAACCUUGCUAUGUUAGCAAAACAGUGUUGGCGACUAAUCCAGAACCUGGAUUCUCUAUGUGCACGUGUUUUGAGCGCAAAGUAUUAUCCAAAGGGGAAUAUUUUGAAGGCAGGACCGAAGAAAGGCUCGUCUUGCACUUGGCAGAGUAUAGUUGCAGGUAUACAAACUUUUCAGAGAGGAUAUAUGUGGCGAGUGGGCAAUAGAGCACACAUCGAUAUUUGGCAGGACCCGUGGAUUCCAUCAAGCCCGUCGCGAAAAGUUGUCACCGCUCGUGGUGUAGUAAUGCUAUGAUUUGUAGAUGAACUGAUUGAUCCACAUCAUGGACAGUGGGAUGAAGCCCUGAUUCGAGAUGUGUUCUCUCCGGUUGACGCGCAGAGGAUUCUCCAGAUACCGCUAAAUGUUCAGGUGGUGGAGGACUUUGUAGCGUGGCAUUAUACGAGAUCAGGGACCUUCUCGGUCCAGUCUGCAUAUCAUAGGCAAUUUGAACACACAUAUGGCAGACAUCUUACUAGAUCAGAUGGACAAGGCAAUACCCAAGUCAACACCAUUUGGCAAAAAGUGUGGAAUCUGAAGCUCCCGGGAAAGAUUAAGCAUUUUGCCUGGAAGGCACUUAAUGGACCGCUACCUUGUUAUGGUAUACUAGCCAACAGACACAUUCCUCUAGUCCCGCAAUGCCCCUUUUGUUCAGUGGGUUUGGAGGAUAUACAACACUGCUUAUUUUCAAGGGUGCAGGAGGUGUGGGCAGAGCUGGGGUUACAGAAAAUUAUA